rfam:Papio anubis isolate 1X1155 chromosome 4, whole genome shotgun sequence.
CAAAAGGCUCUUUUCAGAGCCACUUACCAUCUCAGAAAAGGCUGU